AGUGUGUAUAUAACAUAUAUAUAAAUAUAUAUAUAAUUAAAGAUACUAGUAUUACUAUCUAUAUAUGACACUGUGGGUCUAUAUACGAAUGUCAGUGUGUAUAUAACAUAUAUAUAUAUAUAUGUAAAUAAAGAUGCUAGUAUUACUAUCUAUAUAUGUCACUGUGGGUCUAUAUACGAAUAUGUUAGUGUGUAUGUAUAUAUAUAUAUAUCAAUAAUAAUAAAGGGUGAAAUUAAUUAAUUUAGAAAUAAUCAUUAAUUUCACCAAGUAGAGUUCGGCAUGUAAAAGCCCCAUUCAAGGAAUGGUUUAAGUAAUACUAAGUAAUUAAGGGUUUAGCAACGAUUUGCCUAAUUACUUAGUAUAUAUAUAUAUAUAUAUAUAUAUAAGAUGCUAGUAUUAUUAUCUAUAUAUGUCACUGUGGGUCUAUAUACGAAUAUCUCAAUACAUGUCAGUGUGUGUGUAUAUAUAUAUAUAUGUAUAUUUGUGUGUGUGUGUGUGUCAGCCUCCAAAGUCUUCAACAGUUCCUGUAAUUCACUCCAUCCUCAUCACCUCCACCUCCAAACAAGUUCUUCCUAUCUUCUCUUUUUUCUUUCUGUCAUUCAGUUCAAUACCUUACAGUCUGAAUAAUACAAACUGCCGCUGCUGCCGCUUGCCUGUGUGCG
rnacentral:lncRNA from 1 species